rnacentral:tRNA from 1 species
AAGACACUAGUAAAGCAGAAUAUUACACCGCCUUGUCAAGGCGGAAUCGUGGGUUAAAACCCCGCGUGUCUUGCACCCCCCCCCCCCCCC